CCGAGCGGCCAGAGAAACGGAGGAGCGGCUGUAGUAAGAGUGCGAUGAAGGACGAUGAAGGAUGGCUUAAUGCAGACCAGGAUGUGGACUUGUUUGCCUUGCACUGGUCUUACAUGCCACAACUUCAGAGGCAUCUGCAAGAAUUUCAGAGUGCCUGGAAUAGUCACAGUCUAAGAUCUGCAGGCAGCAGAACUCCUACUGCAGCUUUGGUCAAAUCAUGAGAAGGAAAACUCCAAUCAGAUUGACAUUGAUGUUGAAGUCAGGGAAGACUUACAAGGGCAACAAGCAGAAGGUGUUCAUGUUCCUGAGUUGGAUCUGCCUCGUGGCUUGAUCGUGCCAACUCUAGCAAAUCCAGAUCAGAUGCAUUUCUGCCA
ensembl:lncRNA